UAAAAAUAUUUCUGGACACCACUUUUUGGUGCCCCCAAAUCUCGGCGCCCUAGGCGGCCGCCUAGUUGACCUAGUGGUUACACCGGCCUUG